rnacentral:lncRNA from 1 species
UUUUUUUAAUGACCGAGUCAAAGCAACGGCGCGUGUUUGAUUAUACCCUUUCCUGCCGGCAUGAGGACCUGCUCUAAUUAAUUUGCAUCGUCACGCUUCUGCAUCUGCCUCGGUUGGUGGCUUCUCCUCACCGGCCAAGAGCAAAGGACGCCAUGGACUUGAUUCCGUCUUUCUCCAGGUCAGUGCAUGUUCUAGCUAUGCUCGAUCUUUUGCUGAAUUACUUGCUCUUUGCACCUCGCAAACCAUUCACGUACGGGGACGAGCGGCCAAACAUGGGCGGUCGUAUGCAUGUCAAGAAAUGAUCCAGAUUUCAACAUGUAAGUCGGCGUGAUUUCCUCUUUCAGAAGAAACGGUUUCAUAGCUUCUUCUUAUGAGGGGAUGAUCCAAGAAGAACGCCAUGGCUAGUAUCCUCUUUUUCAUUCUAUAUAUGUACUUCUCAGUUCUAGAUGCUCGAUAGUCCACGUGUCUGGCAAUUGAGUUUAUGUGUAUGUGUGUGUGAGUGGAUUUCUCCUUUUCAUCACAAUUUCUUUUUCCGAUUUCUCCUUCUCCUUCUUCUUCCUCCUUUCAUCUCCCUCCCAGCUGGCCGCUGCUCGCACUCCCUGGCCAAACUACCAGCUUCUGCCAGCCAUGGUGUUCUAAAUUUUAUAUUUAUACUUUGUUCUUUAUUUUUAUUAUUUUUCACUGUUGUGUUUUGUUCCUUUUUUGUCUGUGUCAAAUAAUUGCUUUUUUCCCGUGUAUAUUUUCCCUCUUUUUCACUUCUAUAUGAAAAUCUUCAUGAAAAAAUACACUGUAUUUUUUAUAAAGUACAUUGUACUACUUGAAUAUUUAUUUUCGAAUAUGUGAACUUUUUAUGCUCGCCAGUUUUUGUAUGUGGACACGUCUCUUUUAAAAUACAUCAACAUUACUUUUAAGAAUUUUUUUAUUUUACAAAGACAUCAAUUUCGAAGUGCUAUUCUCUCUAACACUCGUACAUAUCCUUCUCUACCUUUAUCAAUUUGUUUUCUUGUCACAAUCAAAGAUGAAGUAGCCAGCUUAUAACUUGAUGAGUGCAAAAUUAUAGUCAGGCAUGUGAGGACUGAGUGAGGACGAGUAGAUUAUCAACAUAUAUAAUCGGUGUUUCAAGUUUACAGAGUUCUCCCCUCCAAACAAAUGUUUAUUGGGAAUAAUACCAAUUUUUUUUCAAUAUGCAUAUAUAGUUUCUUCCUAGAUGAGCUUAAUUAAUGUUUCACCCAUCACACGCAGGUAGCUAUAAACUUGGAAAGGUUGCAUCAUGCGAGUGCCCACAUUUGUUGAGAUUGAAUUGUGAAGUGUGGACGUCGACCACCGAAAUAUGGCCCGGGGAACUAGAAGCUAUAGAAGAAAGGUACACAAAUACGAUCUUCAUUGUAAGAAUUCAAAUCCAAUGAUAAAGUAGACGUAAAAGCAUGUGUAGCUUACAAUUAUGUACUCGGUUUACACAAAUGUAUUGUUUUCUUUGACAUAUACUUUGCUGAAUGCUCAUACGAGUUCUUGAUAUAUAGUUCCUGUAGUACAUCUUGGUUGUAUAUGCAUGUCUAUGUCGGUCUCCUUAGACAUGUAGAAACUUUAAAACACGUACACUCAAAUUGAAAUAGGCUUUCACAUUGUUUUAUAAAUAAAACAACCACCACAUCCAACCAGCAAGUAUAAGUGCAAAAAACAAAACAUAGGUCUACUCAGGAAACAACAUAGUCAUCUCCAAAAGAAAAAAAAGAAGCGACAGAAGACUCUUUGGAAGCAAUGGAUUAACGGGUAGGGAGUGAAUCAAGUCGUCCGCCUGACACUGUAGGAUCAUCAACCACAAUGGCAAAAAUUUAAACACAAAGUCAAAAGAACAUUACAAAAAGACCUGCUCAACAAGACAAUAACCAUCGUGCAUAGUCGAUAGGGUUCAGGUCAAUAGGUCAUUGUCGAGAACACUAGCAAGAAGAGGUGGCUCCGCGUCCUACCCGUAUGGUUAGCUUGAGCCUCCAGGAACUGAAACAAAUUGGGGGACUGCCACUCAAGUCCAAGAGCCUCACGAACCCCACAAAGAAGACAUAGACCAUCACCCGACCCAUGCCACUUUGCCACCUCUGUCCGUGUGGGGAGACGAUCCCGUAAGAGCUACCACAGGAAAUCAUGAUCUUCAGUGGAAGUGUUGGUUUCAAAAGGGGAUGGUCCACAACCGAGUUGACGUACGUCAUAAAGCAUGGUAUGUCGAGCCGAAAGAGAAUAGACCAAUGGAGCUAGGUGCCAUGAUAGAAUGUUCCUUGACCCCAGACGCGAGAUCGGCAAGGCCGCCCGAAAUUUGAUCCAAGCCGACGUUUCCUCAAGGCCAAAUGUCCAAUGGAAUGGUAUGUUCCCAUUUCCCUUGUGGAUCACCGAGGGAACAUAAAGCAUUCCAGGGGCGCAGCUGUAAAAAGACCCACAAAUUUAGCGCUCUGUGGGACCUGCUAAGCUAUGGGUGCAGCAAGAGGAUGCUACCUUCUCCCCUGCCAAUGGAGGAACUGGAUCCAACCGAAUCUCAUGCUUGAUCGAUGGGUGGGACUUGCAGAACUAUUAGCCACCCUUUGAUCGCAAGCCAGGAGAGGGUGCCCUACAAAUAUUUUUCUUUAGUAAGUUGUAGCCAUAGGCCUCCCUCACCUAUAAUGAUUCGUGAAUGAUCAAAGAUGCCUGAGAUGUCGACUAGAUGGGUGGUGAAUAGGUGACUAUCAAUGUUAAUCAUUUUCUUAGCUGUUUUUAGUGGCUGGUGCGAAAUUGAAUGGUUUUAAUGUAUGCAAAUAGGUGCCACACCCUAUAUGAUGUCAUACAACAAUAACAAUGGUGCUUCCACGUAUGAUGAUCUGCAUGAUCCGACAACAAUAACGAUCAUCGAACCCCCUUCGCUCAAGGACCCUGCAAUGAAAGAACCAAUCCAAAUGGUCAUAAUCCUUCUGGAAAUAGUGUAAAAGAAAAUCCUUCUUGAAAUCCAGCUUAAGGAACUAACCCUUUGGCGUUGAACCUUAACCACAGGAACAAUCUUAUGAAGUGCUAAGAUCACAUCGUAACUAAAGCGUCCCUCAAGGAAGGCCGACUUGUAAUGAUGUAUGCGACAUUUCUCCAUCAAGGCAAAUUACGUCGCACAAACCUUAGCAAAGACCCAUUUGAGGACAUUGAUCAUUCCGACAGGCCUAAAUUAGAAAAUAUCUGUCGCCCCAACUAAUUUUGUGCUUAGGGUAAUCACACCGAAGUUUAGGCGAGACAUGUCCAAUAUAUGUCCCAAUGUAGAAUUUUCUGAACAUUAGCAUAAUCAUGGUGUGAAGAUUCUCCUAUAACUUCUGAAAAAAGGCUACCAGAAGGUCAUUCAAUCAUACAACUAGCCUUCAUUUCCUUAAAAUCCCGGCCUACCUCUAAAUGGAGAGUGAGACUCCCACUCUCUCUCUCCGGACCCCACUGCCGAGGAGUCCAUAGCUAACGUAACCCUUGUAUAGGUUUUUGCUAUGAAGAGCUCUAUAGAAGGAGUAGAUAUGAAACAAGAUAUCUCAGGCAUCCUUGAAGAGAACAUGUCCCUUCUAAAGGCAUGGAAUAAAGUACUUCCGAGGCCAUCCAUAAGCGAUGGUUGGGAAAUAGGCAGCACAAAUCCACUUUAAAACAUAUACAAAUGGAAAAAAUAGACAACUUUGAGGUGAUGCGAGCAUGAUAAACACCAGAGCGGAAUAAAGCAGCAAAUGGCUGCCAGAGCGCAUAGAUCAACUCGAGCCUCGGUCCAAGCAAAUCAUUCAUGUGGUAGCAUCUAGCUGGUGAGCUAGCUUGCAACCGUGGUUGGAAUCGAUCAAGUGUGCAAAGCAUAACGGAUGAAAGGGAGUCUCAGUGUGUGCAAGCUAAAAUCCACAACAUGUGGUUCGAGCUAGAGCUCGGUGGGCCUAGGUAAGCAUGAAACUUGACAUCAGGUGAUUAUGAUAGGUUGUUCUCCGUUCUCCACAGUGAGGGUUUAGAAGGUUUGGGUUGGCUACCUUUUUUUUAGAUAAGGAGGAUCAUCCCCCAACCUCUGCAUCAAUCGAUUUGGGUUGGCUACCUGGUAGACUACUAGGAUAGCAUAGGUUUGACGCAACAAUAGCAACGAGGCUUGGGGUAAGCACAUUAUAGGACCGGUCAUGACAUGGGUAUAGUCAAACAUGUAUAGAUAAGUGCUAAAACAGUUUAUACCAGUAACAAUUUCAAGUCGGUUGGUUAGGAUGUGAUCACAUAUCAGUGUUACUUUCUCAACCACACUGGCCAUAACCAAGCGCUCUGCAUCCCUGGAGAGAUAGUCCAUUGCAGAAUAACCUUGUUAAUUAGUCAAAGGUGAAACUUCGCACAGUUUGUCAAAUUUCGAUGAACGCUGGCCAUGUCAUCACUUCUCCGAUGAAACACCAUCGCCCGUGGUUUUCUUUAACCACUUUUUUUUUCUCGGAUGACACGAUAUAAUGAAGACCAAACUCCAUUAUCUAGUUGCGUAGAUUUUAGGGAAACAUGCAUGCAAAAACAAACUACUAAUCGUCCAAAACUUUUGGUGCUACUCUGUCCCUUCUCGUCGUUCACAAUUACCUGUUUUGACAAGCAAAUGGUUGUGCAUUGGCCAUAUGUGUGAUUCAGCGCAGCCAGUGACCGGCACAAAGGCAUUGAGGAACAUUGAUUGUGAUAUAUGCACAUCAGAAUGAAAUGGACACAGAAGUAGCAUAAUCCACAAUCAUGACAUUUCACAGAAAGGGGCAAUUUAAACACUACGUAAGUGACAUGACAUCGGAGUUACAGAAAUAGUCCACACUCUUGGCUUUCGACUCGCCAAAUGAAUUAAUUUGACAAAUCUGCCUCUUACCGGAGCCAGCGAUCGAUUCAUCCGUCUUCACAGAUAGAUCGUCCAACAAUGGAAACAACUUUCAUAGCUAGUUCAAUUUAGUCCCGAUUUGGCUCGGUGUCAAAAAACAAAUACUCGUCUCCAUUUGCCUCCACAACCUCUACACAGGAGACGCUGAGAGCUCUACUUCCUUUUGGGCAGAGUGGAUGCGUGUCUUGCGGUAUAGCAGACAAGAGUAUACAGUUAUCUGCGUAACCGUGGACACAAUGCCAAUGAUAUUCGGUACCUGCAUGCACAUAACGACGGCAAUGAGCAAUUGUACAUUCCUGCAAUGGAAAUAUUAUUAUAUUGAGUAGAUCACAACAGAAGUCCCUUCACAUAGGUAGUCUCCAUCUCUCUCACUCUCUCUCACUCACUCUCUAGACCUAUAAUGAGAUGGAUUGAUGGCACCAAGGAUAGAUAUUAAGUACCACGACGUAGGGGUUGACUGGGACGGUCAUGAAGCCGUAGGGGGCCCAUGUACAUGCACUUAAGAGGGAGAUGACGGCCAUGAUUACUGGGUUCAUGUCGUUGAUCUGCUUGAUCUUCAUGAUUACCAUCACCUGCCGUACAAAUUCGAUCGGUUUCAAUCCACCAACGAGAAAACGGACAAUAGAUUUAUAAAUCACGCUAGAAAGUCCACUUCACCAGCCGUAGCUUGAACUUACCAGAUCAUAUGCUGGAACUAUUUGUGUAGAUGCUCCAGAUAUUGAAGCCAUGACAUCGACAAAAGUAUUACUCCACGUAUGAGUGAUCAGCACCAUCGAAGCUACUAAUACUGCCGUUAUUAAAGCGACGACCAAAAAUGCGGAAAGAAUGAUUACGGCAUGCCGACGAUUCUCUGGUUCCGCAAACGUGAUGUAGAAGGUGGUGUAGAAAAAAUGAACGAUGAUUCCCAUUCCACUGAUGAUGAAGAGCAAGAGCUUGUUGGGGAGAUCCGUCGAGGCAUACAGUGUCCACAUCACGCUGUUGAAGAAGAGCAAGACAUGUCCAUAUACCUUCCGAUCUCCUACAGACCUUUCCUUCCAAACUGGGAUCACCAUAGUGCACCUGCGCGAACAAAACAAACGGAUGGUCACUUAGGUAAAAAAACACACGAGUGGCAAUAUUUUGUUGAGUUUUAUCGUAGCCGGGUGAUGAACUUUAGAUUAAUGAAUAAUGGCUAGGCUGCAUGCAUCACCGAGGAUGAGGGCGUUCCCCUCUUUUCAGAAAAGGGUAAAAAAUCUAUUAGUGUCCAACACGUAAGCAAAGUUCAAUGCCUAUUAGUACAAGCUUCGUGCACAUAGGAGUACUGCGUUUUACUCCCUCACAGAGAGCUUCUCCAAUAGCAUCUCUUUCUGCAUUAUUGGAGUAGUGGCUUUGCAGUCCCUUAUGUCCAGUACGUCACUUGGUCUUCUCUCUGUCUGUCUUUCACUGGUAGCUACUGCGGCUGGGAUGUGACUGAUGUUGAACUUCGGGGCUAGGAAAGCGGCAAGCAAUGGCGGUUAGGAUGCGGCGGAAGGUGAACUCCGUCUGGGAUGUGUGUGAUCAAUGAACUCCACCUGCAUGGUGGGGUAACUACGGCCCUAAGGCACCACGUGCUCCACGGAGGCGCGUCCGUGGGGUUCCAUGACAAAUAUGUAGGCGCGUCAGACGGCGAAGCAACAUGUGGCAGCGGCGGGACUCGAAUGGGUAAAAUCGGGACGAACAGGGUGGACGAGUCGAUUGAAGAGGUGAGCUCCGACUACCAUGAGGUACUAGGACGAGGGCAAAUUUGUUAGGGAAGUUUUAUUUCACCUCUGCAUGGGGGACUUGUAUGUGGAGCCACCAAACACGCAAAGGCCAACACUCCGGUCUAGAGGAAAACCUAGUCACACUGCCACAAGAGGGGACAUCGGCAAAGCCCGUGUGUGCUGUAGGGAAGGUACAAUGUUAUGUUAGGAGCUCAGGAUCGCCAAUGUCUUGUUCCGAACAUGCAUGGGGCCAACGCAUGGCUUCCGGCAUGCGGAGGCACCACCGACAUGCGUGAGGAGUGCAGGUUCCCGUUGGUGCUGCUCAAUGUAGCGGUUGUUGGCUGAUUCCUGGAGACUGCCAAUGGAGGCAUCCUCGAUGUGGUCGGCAGCAUCCUGUAGGUGGGGGCUUCGGACAUCAACUCGAGCUAUGGAUUGCAGCGAGCACCGAAAUGUCUUCAUGAGGGUUUCUCUUUGGUGACUUUCCGAGAUACAACUGAAGGGCUCCAUUGCGUGUUUUGGAGGCUCUCACUCUGUUCAUUUUUGGUCGACCAUGCGAUGCAAUAUAUGGACAUCGUCUUGACGCAGAGGGUGUGGUUGUGCAGUGGUGGUAGUGGGACUUCUUGUCCAAUGCCUUUAGUUGCUAGAAUCGUGGAAAAGUGGUAGCAACAACACAUGAUUGACAUCGAUUCGGUGGUGCUUCUUGAGUACCCAGUCUUGAGCUCUAGGGUGAAAAUGCUAGGUCUAACUCAAGUUUGUUAUACAUAUCAAUGACGAUGUUUUGUGUCUUUACCUUGUUGAAGGCAUUGCUCAGAUAUGUCCGGACUUGUUCUUCAUGGUGAAAACAUAGAUUCCGGCCUUUUAUAGUUGGAUCCAUUGUACGUGAUGCUCCAAUGUGAAGAGAUGAUUGGUGCGUAUAUGGCUGUUCUUGUAGUUUUUUUAUCAUUGUUUUAAUUGCUUCAAGUCUUUAUCUUUUACUCGCUUAGAUAUAGCUUCAGUAUUGUAUGACUUUGUUAUUUAUCAACGAGUUUAUGUGUGUGUGUGCAAUGGCAUUGGCUAUGUCCAUCCCAGCUAUGUAGAGAUCAGGUAUGUGCUCAUUGUGUUUGCAUCCAUAGGAUGUUUCUUUUAUAGUGAAUAAAAUUCACCCUCUCUCUAAAAUAUAGGGGAGUUGGGUGGAAAUUUUGGUGUACACCAAAAGCUAUUGGGGAUUGUGGAUCAUAUUAGGGGGAUGUUAACGUACGUAAAUCCCCUAUAGUGUCAGUUAUUUUUAGGGAUGUGUGCUUUUACCGUCACGACUUUCAAGAUGCUUAAAGAUGUCGUUGGCACGUAGCUUGAGGAAAAUCAGGUUUGAAUGUGUGAUAUAGAAAAGUUGUUGUUUUGGGGAAGUGGUUAUGAGCAAUGUUGCCUAUGUUUUGGCAAACCAAUUGUCUCAUUUAUCUAUCUUGAGUCAAAAGUAUAAAAUGCCUCUGAGAUGUCCAGGGGCCUUUUAUGCACAGAUUCAAUGAUAAUAACCGGAGUUAGUUGUGUUUUACCAAGUUUGAGUUACUAUAUAUACAUAUGGAUAUAGUACAAACAUGAUGUUUUAGUUACUUUCUCCCUAUGUUUGUAAUGAUAUAUGACAUCGUUAGUAUCGAUCUCUAGUGCCCCACCAAUCUUACGUUCUAAUAGAGGUGGUGGAAGACAAUGGAUACAUGGUGGCGCCUGAAGGGAUCUCGACGGGUGAUGAAUCCAUGAAGGUGAUUCGAUGGUUUUAUCCAGCUUCGUGGCCACCAGAUGGUUUAGAUCCCUACAUCCUGACUAUCUAUCUUUAUUGAUCAAUGAGAGAAUUAUAACGUUGUAGAGCUAAUCUAGGGAGCUAGGUUACGAGCAUGUUGCUUCACACAUAUGAUUAUCUUUGACAUUCGUCCGCUUGUCCCUUAUAUAGGUAAACAAAUGAAGGUAAUAUCAUACCUAACUUCAAGGGGUAUGAUAUGAUUGGGUGUUGCCAGUUUUGCAAGUGUAUCUCUCACAACCACUAUUGCAGAACCAUUUACAUGUGGGGCCUCACUAGUAGUGGGUGGCCAUCUGCACCUGCGAGUAGUAUUAAUUUGGCUACUUACGAGUGGAGGGCGGGAUUUCUUCCCACCACUUGUAUGUAAUUAAUAGUGGCAGGGGCGAUUUCCUGCCGGCCACUGGUAAUAUAUGCUUCGGCUAGCGAUGGGCCAAUCACAUCAGUCAUAGGUUCAUUUUCAUGAGCGCCGCUGGUAAAUCACGUAAUAGUGGUAGGCAGGUAGCAAACAUCCACCACUGAUAAUAUGGGCCCAUAUUUGCAAUAGUCAUGGUGACUCUGGUACAUUUUUAGGCAACUUUUUUAAUGGCUUAGGGUAUUUUGGGUUUUCAAUGUUUUAUGGUGUUGUAUGAAAAAUGGUUUGAACACUUAGGUUCCAUUUGCUAUGUUUUAGGCAUUAUAGGAAUAUAUUUGUAUUCCAUUUUGGAUAUAAUUAAAAUUUGAACUGUAAUUAUAUUAAAAAAUAAAUAUUGGAAGAAAGAUAAUAUUGAAGGUAGUUAUUAUAUAUUCAGUAUUAUGAAUCAACUGCUUGGUAAUUUUGACAUCAUGGUAAAUUCAAUCAUUCCUUGGAUUUCAAAAUACUUACUGAAGAACUAAAUAAUUCAUCUGUAAUUGUUUCCAAACAUUUGUUUGCAUAUAUGACCUGAAUACAUACUCACGAACUUGCACCAAUUUUGGGGCAUCGUUUGGUGCACUUGUAGUGCAAAUUAGUACAUCCAAUAAAUACCUGGAAAUGCACUAAAUGCCCUAGAAUACUCCCUCCUUUUUAGAAUAUGAGGGGCAUCAAUUUUCAUGUAAGCCAAAUACAUUUAUGUUUGAUAAAAAUUACAUAAUGAAAUAUAAAGAUCCGCUAUAAUAAAUAAAUAACCCCAUGAAAGCACUUUUCAUAAUGGAUUACAUAAAUAUUUUAGGUGUAUUUGUAUUAUUAAAAAUAUGAUACAAAUUUCAUACUAAAGGUAUUAAUGCAUCUUUCUAAAAACUUUGUAAGCAUGCAAAAAUUAGACAUUUGAAAAAAAUUAAUACACCUUAUAUUUUCGGAUAGAGGGAAUAAGAUACUCACCUAGAAAUGUACCAAAAUUUUACAUGUAAUUUGCAAUGGUGCAUCUUCAAAACAUAAAAAGUUUUAACAGCAAUCUUUCCUUCAAACAUAUUAUAAUCCCUUUGAAAGUCUAAUUUUUUCCACAUGGGUUCUCCACUUUCUUAGCAAAGUGCAUAAAAAAUUCUUUGGUUUUGCCAGACCCUCUAGGCUUCUUACCUUAAAACCAUUACAAGUUUCAUCAUUUUUCAGACUUCAUUUACAUUAUAAAAAACAACCAUUGCCGGGAAUUCAUUGAAUGCACCAAAAUAGCAAAUUCAUCCAUAAAAAAGUGCCAAAGUUUUACAAGAAGCUUCCAAUGUUGUAACUUCUACCGAAACAUUGUACCCCAAAUAUAAUAAUAAAGUAGUAACUGGAAAAUAGAAAGAAACUAAAUUUUUUACUAGUGGUGGGCGCCUUGGAACACCUGCCACGAGAAACCAAUAGUAGUGGCGGCGAGGGGAGUACUCCACAAUUGAUUUCUUACGAAGCCAAAUAGUCUAGGUUCUACGAACAAGGUUUGUAGUUCCUGUGUUAUCUUGUCCAGGGCAUGUUUAGAUCUGCAAAUGUAUGCUUUCCUUAAUAGUGUGCAGAUCAAAUUACACAUCGGUCUCCAUUCUCGCACUUGAUCUAUCUAUAUGUAGGUUCUUGUUAUAGUACAUGGGCAUAUUUUUAAACUAUUGUUUCUCGUUAUUAGCCUAAUCCACUCCUAUGUAAAAUUGUUAAGAAACCGUUGACCAUUCAUAUGAUGAUUGGUCCCAUAUGGACAUCUCUGGACAAGAUAUGAACUUUGUGCUAAAAACAGAUGUGUGUGUUUGAUCUAUGUUGCAUGUCUUUGUAUGUAUUUGAAGGUUUGGAUUUGAGGGGGACAAUUGUGGAUGCAUAUGAAUAACAGGCAGGUCGGCGCUGUCCGCGGACGUGUAUGGGCGCGCCCAUGGACGUUGGACACUUGAAGAUCCUAGUGAUUCUUGUUUCCAAUUGUGUGAGCCUAAUACUUCAUGAUUCAGGUGAAUACUAAAAUUAAUGGGCAAGGUUUGCGAACUGGUUCGUCUAUACCUUCUUUGUGCAUGCUAUGUGAUCAAUUUAUUUUCUCAAUUUCUGGUGAUUCUUCUUUUGUUUGCUCGCUCAACUAUCCCCAUAAAUUAUUUCUCACAAUUGUAUGUGCAUUUAUUUGUGAGUAAUUUGUUCUUGAACUAAUCAUGAAACCAAUUCCACUACAUAACUUGAGCCAAUAUAUGAUAUAAAUUUCACAACUUCACCUCAUGCAAUUCUAUGAAUAGCAUUGUGUAUUUAGUUUUUCUACCUUGUAUGAAACACUAGUGUUUUAUUAGUUUGGCACAACAUACACCUGCUGCCAGGUAACUAAGUUGAUAUGAAUGUGUCAAAUUUACACGUCCUAUAUACUCAAAUUCUUUGAACUGCCUUUGUCUUUCUACAAGUUACGUGGUUUUGAGCAUAUUGGCCAGUCUUUUGAAAUUAAAAGAUAGAUCGGUUAACUAGUUAUACUUAGUUUUGGCUUUGUGGUUAAGACAGAUCAAAUGUUCUUAGAAAAUGGAUAUCAGGGAAGAGCUAAAUUGUCAAACUUUAUAUAAAAAAGAUGAAGGUACCCACUGAUCUUCUACAUAGUGCAAAUUAUUGAUGUGAGUAUGAUAUAUCAGCCUCUUGUUCAUGUUUGUGCAAUAAAUGGCACAACAGGUAUUCAAGAUUUUCUCCACAUCAUACCUGCGAACAUGGCAUAAAAUCGAAAACGGAUAUAUAAUAUGUGUUUUUAUUAAUCAGUUCUUGUGGUUCUUUUGUUUAUAACUGAUUACACCUUCUCAUAGUUGUACAUUGCAUUAAUACAAAUGACCUCUAUUUUUAUGCAAGUUGCGCGGAUAGAUGGAAAUCCAAUUACACCAUUGGCAAUGAGGAAUUGCAAUUGCUUUUACCUCUUUCUGCAUUAAUUAUGAUUUUUCUACGCGCAUACAUUACAUACAUUACAAAUGCAAUGUGACUAUGACCAAUGUGAAAAUACAUGAGUAAAUUCGUUAAGUAUGUACAACUAGCAUACUGGCCCCGACACGUUUGCGACUUGAUUUUUCUACGCGCAUUUGAUAAAUUUAAAUCAAUUAUUAUUCUUUAUGUCUAAGUCGAUGUUGCUACCAGUCUAACCUAGUUAUGACAUUUCCACCCCAUUGUGAUUCUCUAUAUGGGAAAAUCAACCAAAGAUGCAAAUACAGACUUCUGAUCCCAGCCCACCAGUUCAUUUAAUUUGGAGAUAUUUACAUACAUAGUUAAAUAUAAACAUGAUAGCUUAGAUGUAAGUUAGUAGUCAGUUCCUCCACCCACCUUAAAACCAGUGGUAUUGUAUAUACUUAUUAAGGAAACACUUUAACCAGAAUACUUAUAUUCUACAUACAUGUUUUGGGCGCCGUGAGCACUUGUCUACUGGACCACACAUGCAUCUCCUGACUUCUACAUCUAUCAUAAAAGGUGCCUUAAUUUUUUUUACUGGCUUACAAUGGACAAGCUUGUCUCGACGGCAGGCUCUCUUGGCUCUCUUGAUCCCCUAAUGCAAGGCUCUCUUGGCUCUCUUGAUGGCAGGCUACCUGGCACCCUCCACCGCUGAAGGCAAGUUACCUUUUUUUUGGCUAUGUAAUGGGUAUUACAAUGAACGCAAUAGCUGAAAGUACUCACAAUGGGUGGAAUUAAGUCAAGUUUUUGUCCGGACACUAGAUAUACUCACUACAAUAGGAUCAAAUAAUUAAUAGACAACGUUACAAGCCCCAUUCUACUUGUAGACGCACAACUGUACUUAAUUUCAGAGCAACCGGUUAAUUUCCUAGAAUGGGGCAUUAUCUAUCCCGAUAAAUAUGACUUCCAUUGAAUACGGCUUCCAUAUAAUUUUAUAUUGAGCUAAUCUAGAAUCCCUUCUAGUAAUAACUAGUCGCGAUUAGGUUAAUCAUGUUUGGUACGUACUUGUAGACUACACCGAAUCGUUAUGUGCUUGGUAGUUUACUUGCUAUGCAAACAUGUACACUGCUCCUGCAUAAUCAUCCGAGAUGAAAGCCAUCAAUUGUGUCUCUGUGUAUUCAUGCAUCCAUGAAAGAAUUGAUCUAUUUCAUACAUGUAUUUGUGCAGCCAUAGGAAUUGAUCAAUUGAUCAGGUAGAAAGGUUUCUGUCUCCAAGUAGCUGCAUCGACGGUUAAUGAGUGGCAGCAGCUUCUCUUCAUCUCAUCUCCAAGUAGCGGCGUCGGCCAUGCCUCCAACUCCGGCAAGUCAACGCCAAUGUCAGCCAUGCCGCCGGCACCGACAAGUCAGCCACCAGGUGAGAGCGACCUCUCUUCAUCCCAUCACCAUGUAGCGCUGUCGGCCUCAUUUUGUUUCCUCCCCAAAUCCCAAUCCGUAUUGUUGCCGUGUUGGUCAUUGUCGCCGUCUACACUGCCCCUUACAUCCAUCACCCGACCUCCUCCUCCUUGUUGUGCCCAUCAUCCAUGAUGGCAUCGUCCCUGUGCUCAUUUUGGAUGUGGUUCUUGUUGUCUGCAACUUCAGAUCGACUGCAAAGAAUUUGUACAGCAUACUUGAACUAAUGUGUGACAUGUUUGUGCUUUCAAUAUUUCAUAUAUAACAAUAUAAGUUAAGUUUUCUGAUUACUGAUCCUCCAUCAGUGAUCUGGACUCUGCAUGAUAUGCAAAUAAAUUCAAAUUCAUGAACUUUUUCCAAAUUCAUGAACUCCAAAGCUCGCUAUUGUACCACUCCAUAAAACUCGGUAGAUUUUGAACAUAUCUUCGUCAGCCAUUUUUUUCAUGAACACUAAGAAUUUUUCUUGAAUUUGAAAAAAGUGUGAAUUUCUAAAAUGUAAGAGAUCUUCAAAAAGUUUGGGAAUUUAAACUUGUUCACAAAUUUUCAAAAGUGUUCAGGGUUCAAUAUAAUGUUAAUGAAUAUGCAAAUACCAUAUGUUCAUUAAUUUAGAUGUUCAUGGAAUGAAAACAAAUCAUGAAAAUGGAAAAUAUGAUCACAACUUUAAAAAAAUGAGAAACAUUUUUCCCCCCCCCCCCCCCCCAAAUUGUGAAAGUAUAUGAAUGUUCACAAAUAUUUUUUCCAUAUUCGUGAACGACGCGAAGAUUUAUUAAAAGUUGUGAACAAUUUUUCCAUAUUCAAGAACAUUUGUUUAAAGUCGCAAAAGUAUAUGAAUGUUAGUGAAUACCUUUUCCAUAUUGACGGACCACGCGAAUACUUCCUCCGUUCCUAAAUAUAAGUCUUUUAAGAAAUUUUCACUAGAGGUCUACAUACGGAGCAAAAUAAGUGAAUCUAUAGUGUAAAGUAUGUCUAUAUACAUCCGUAUGUAGUUUACUAGUGAAACCUCUACAAAGACUUAUAUUUAGGAACGGAGGGAGUAGUUUUUUUGAAAUCUUGAACAUGUUUUCCAUAUUCACAAGCACUUUUUCGAAGUAUAUGAAUGUUCACAAACAUUUUUUCCAUAUUCACGAACAUUUUUUUGAAUCAUGAAAGUAUAUGAAUAUCCGGCAACAAAUUUUUUCUUAUUAUUGAACGACAUUUUCUUCCAUACUCACGAAAGCGGAUAUUUUUUAGAAGGUCAUGAAUUUGAAUUUAUUUGCAUAUUUUCGUCACUGGCCCGUUACCUUGCGGGGCCCCAGUCCGGCGUGUCACGGGUCAACGUCGCCAGCUGGCCGGUCAUAGGGAUCAUACAUAUUUUGGACCUGAAUGAUACAAUUACUAUACUUCGGGAACCUGAAUGCAGAUUUGUAUAGUUCGAGGACCUACAGGACAACCCUGAAAUAGUUAAGGGGCAUAUAAUGCACUUUGCACCAUAUCAUCAAAAGCUUUGGACUGUCAUGUUAUUUUUUCAACAGUACACCACUCACAGCUAGCCUCUUUAUUUGACACACAGAAAGAGAUGCCAGCUAGCUAGACAUUGAUCAUCAUGUACAGGACAAAUAUUUGCCUAUGUGUCAGGUAUGCAACUUCGGUUUGGUGCUUUAGGCAAAGUUUGUUUCUUUCUCCGCUUUGGAGCAUCAUGUAGAUGACAAAGGUAGGUAAAUAUCUUUGGAGCAUCAUGUGUACGCGACAAAGUUAUGUAAAUAUCUUUGGAGCAUCAUGUACAGCAAGUUCGUUUCCUUCUACGGUUUGGUGUGUGAUUUACUCAGGAUCUAAAUUAAUAUCGAAAUGGAGCAUCAUAUGCAGCUUGCUAUGGUUGUUUCUUUCUUUCCUUUGUGCUCCUGUGAGGUGAGCUUGUUGUGGUUCUCAUAUGCUUAUCUGUUUAAUUAGGAAUGCUCUCCUUCCUUGCGAAUUAGGACUGUACAUGACCUGAGCCUAGCUCUCAUAUGCUUCUCUGUUUAAUUAGGAGUCUUCCCUGUCCCUGGAAACGGGGAGUGCACAUGCACUAAGACUAGCUCUCAUAUGCUUCUCUAUUUAAUUAGGAGUGUUCCCUUCCCUUGCAAAUUAUGGAAGCCUUAAAUUCCAUGAUAUACUCCCUCCAUCCCAUAUUAACUAUCGCGUAAGCGGAUGUACGAUAAUGAACUUUUGUAUUUCAUUAGUCUUGUUCUUCUGUUCUGUGCUUGAACUGAUAAAAAAAUUACUUAUAUUUCUGUAUAGGUUAGCUGGUGCGGGCCAAGGUUCCCAUGUCUGGACAAAGUACAAGGGAUAUGUAAUUUUAUGGUUAAAUGUCAUUUAGCUGAUGAAAAAUUGCAAUUGACAUUGGAACUAUUUGCACCAACACUAUGGUGCAAUUUUAUAAUUUGUAUGAUGCAAUUUUUCACUUGACGUACUUUAUGUUUGAUAUCUAGCACAUGCUGUUACAUGUUAAAUAAGAU